UUUAAAAUAUUCCAACAGAUUUAUUUUAAACAGUCAACAAGUUAUUAGGGAAUAAAUAAAACAAAAAUUAUAAAUUAACAUUUCCGUCUAGUUUCACAGCAUAUGGCAACUAUGUUUCUUUACACACUUCCUUUUGUCCUUAGUUCGUUGUUUUUCUCGCCGGUAAAAUAUUGUUCGUGAAAAAGUGUAGUUUUUUAAAUUAAUAUUUCUAUAGGAAAUAAUUCAUGAAAUAAUAUAAAAUUAGUGUUAAAUUAAAGAAAAUUUAAUUGUCUCUUCGGGUAAUAUGAAAUAAUAUGGCUAAUCAAGUUAUUUAAAGAAAUAUUUUAGUGUAAAGAAAUAGUGCAAAAAGUAUGUGUGUUUGUCGUUUGCUAAUGUAAUCUUUGUUUUUUUUGUUGCAAAAAACGCGCAAAGCUUAUAUGAAGAAAGGCAAAAGAAAAAGAGUGAAAUAAGAAAAAUUCAAAAGAGAAAAUUAUUAAAAAUGUAGGAAAUUUAAAAUUCAAAUUUAAAAAUUAGAAAAUUAAAUGAAGUAAAAUAUAUGAAAAAAUAAAUUAAAAAGUUCAUUUAAAAGUAUAAAAUCAAAUUUUAAAAUAAAAUUAAUUGGUAAUUAAAUGUUCACAAUCGAAAAAACAGAGGAAAUUUUAAAAUUACGGAUGAACGGAUCGGGGAAAGAAUAAGGAAAAACAAAUUGAUGUUUUUCAUUCAACAAGCUGUAAUAACUGGGCAGGGAACAUCUUACGUUUUUGUGGCACAAAAGAAAAUCAUGUUCGUAUUGGAAAUUUCAAAAGGAAAAAUCGAAAUGAGUAAUUAUAUAUCAU